UACGGGGGGAGCAAGCGUUGUUCGGAUUUACUGGGCGUAAAGAGCUCGUAGGCAGUCUGUCACGUCGGAUGUGAAAACUCGGGGCUCAACCCCGAGCCUGCAUUCGAUACGGGCAGACUUGAGUUCGGCAGGGGAGACUGGAAUUCCUGGUGUAGCGGUGAAAUGCGCAGAUAUCAGGAGGAACACCGGUGGCGAAGGCGGGUCUCUGGGCCGAUACUGACGCUGAGGAGCGAAAGCGUGGGGAGCAAAAGGG
rnacentral:rRNA from 1 species